GCCUUUGUAGCUCAACGGACAGAGCGUCGGCCUCCGGAGCCGUAGAUGCGAGUUCAAUUCUCGCCAAAGGCA
rnacentral:tRNA from 1 species